AAAAAACAUAAAAAUACAACUAGAAAACAGUUUAUUCCAUUGAAACCGUAGUAUAAGUUGUUUCUGUUGGUUCUGUUCUAUUAGAAGGUCUGGAAAAGGUUCUGAUUGGACGGUUCAGAGUAACCUGAUAGUUUUUCAACCCGAUGGUAGAAAGUUUCUUCCAGGAACGGCGUCCUGUGGCGUCCUGUGGCGUCCUCGCUCUGUGCUUCUUCUGUAACUCCGGGGUUAUUGGUGCUGGCAGAUGCUUCAAAGCCGCCCGCUUCCCUAGACUAAAACCAGAGCUCAGCCAUCAACGGCGCCGCCACCUGCACUGCUGAGAGUGAGACCAGAACCAGGUCUGCUGCUUCAGGUCCGGUUACAGCCUCACGUUACGACUCAACACAGACUCUGCUGUAACUGUGAGACUUUCACAGACGGACGGCACACCAGGAAUCUGAAGCAUCAUCCCAGCAGCUUAUGAGGUGAGGACAGACCAACACAGCCGAAAAAUCCCAGAAGGUUCUGCAAAGAAGCUCGGAGUUUUCCAUUUUUGUCUGCUCAACAUCUGUGGACAGCAGCGCCAUCUGCAGGACACCUGAACUGAAGCAGGACCAGCCUCACCACUGAAGAUGCCUUCAGAGACUCUGCCGGCGGGACGCUCGGAUCCCUCGCUGACAGCUUCGUCUGCUGAGGUCGUUCAGGAGGACCGGCCCCAGGGCCCACGGCAGUCCGGCCCCGGGGCCCACGGCGGUCCGGUGGGGAACCACAGCUGUAGGCGUGGCUAUCUGGACUUCAAAGGGAUUGGUCCCGCGUGAGCGGCUGGUCAUGUGAUCGACGCAC
rnacentral:lncRNA from 1 species